UAGAGUUUGAUCCUGGCUCAGAUUGAACGCUGGCGGCAGGCCUAACACAUGCAAGUCGAGCGGUAGAGAGAAGCUUGCUUCUCUUGAGAGCGGCGGACGGGUGAGUAAUGCCUAGGAAUCUGCCUGGUAGUGGGGGAUAACGUUCGGAAACGAACGCUAAUACCGCAUACGUCCUACGGGAGAAAUCAGGGGACCUUCGGGCCUUGCGCUAUCAGAUGAGCCUAGGUCGGAUUAGCUAGUUGGUGAGGUAAUGGGUCACCAAGGCGACGAUUCGUAACUGGUCUGAGAGGAUGAUCAGUCACACUGGAACUGAGACACGGUCCAGUCUCCUACGGGAGGCAGCAGUGGGGAAUAUUGGACAAUGGGCGAAAGCCUGAUCCAGCCAUGCCGCGUGUGUGAAGAAGGUCUUAGGAUUGUAAAGCACUUUAAGUUGGGAGGAAGGGUUGUAGAUUAAUACUCUGCAAUUUUGACGUUACCGACAGAAUAAGCACCGGCUAACUCUGUGCCAGCAGCCGCGGUAAUACAGAGGGUGCAAGCGUUAAUCGGAAUUACUGAGCGUAAAGCGCGCGUAGUGGUUUGUUAAGUUGGAUGUGAAAUCCCCGGGCUCAACCUGGGAACUGGUAUUCAAAACUGACUGAC
rnacentral:rRNA from 1 species